rnacentral:rRNA from 1 species
AACGAACGCUGGCGGCAGGCUUAACACAUGCAAGUCGAACGCACCCUUCGGGGUGAGUGGCAGACGGGUGAGUAACGCGUGGGAACGUGCCCUUCAGUUCGGGAUAACCCAGGGAAACUUGGGCUAAUACCGGAUACGUGCGAGAGCAGAAAGAUUUAUCGCUGAAGGAUCGGCCCGCGUCUGAUUAGCUAGUUGGUGGGGUAAUGGCCCACCAAGGCGACGAUCAGUAGCUGGUCUGAGAGGAUGAUCAGCCACAUUGGGACUGAGACACGGCCCAAACUCCUACGGGAGGCAGCAGUGGGGAAUAUUGGACAAUGGGCGCAAGCCUGAUCCAGCCAUGCCGCGUGAGUGAUGAAGGCCUUAGGGUUGUAAAGCUCUUUCGUCCGGGACGAUAAUGACGGUACCGGAAGAAGAAGCCCCGGCUAACUUCGUGGCAGCCGCCGCAGUAA